UGCCCAGUGACCAUGUUCAACGGCCGCGGUAUCCUAACCGUGCGAAGGUAGCGUAAUCACUUGUUCUUUAAAUAAGGACUAGUAUGAACGGCAUCACGAAGGUUACACUGUCUCCUCUUUCUAAUCAGUGAAACUAAUCUCCUCGUGAAGAAACGAGGAUAAACAUAUAAGACGAGAAGACCCUAUGGAGCUUCAAACUAUAAAGCACCUGCCCCAGUAUUACUUAAUUCCAGAAAACCACACCUACCCAGGCAAGAUGACCUUUAGUUUUAGGUUGGGGUGACCGCGGAGCAAAAAAAAACCUCCACAUUGAAAGGAGCCAACUCCUUAGCCAAGAGCCACACCUCUAAGCACCAACAAAAAGACAUCAAUUGACCCAAUAUUUUUGAUCACGAACCAAG
rnacentral:rRNA from 1 species